rnacentral:lncRNA from 12 species
ACUCUUCUUAAAGAUAAGACCUGGAAAUAUGAGCUGUACUUCUGAAUGUCAUCCCAGAGCACGGCUUCACUUGCUCUACUGAGACAUUAAAACUAAUCCCUUGCAAUGUACUUAUUUAUUAUGCAGUGGCAUUUAUCCUAUGUGCUUAUAGCAUGCAACCUAUCCCUAACAUCUGAAUAAAUGUUGGAUUUUCAAUCAUCUGGCAUACUUGUA